AUCAGGUAGGGAUACCCGCUGAACUUAAGCAUAUCAAUAAGCGGAGGAAAAGAAACUAACAAGGAUUCCCCUAGUAGCGGCGAGCGAAGCGGGAAGAGCUCAAAUUUAUAAUCUGGCACCUUCGGUGUCCGAGUUGUAAUCUCUAGAAGUGUUUUCCGCGUUGGACCGCACACAAGUCUGUUGGAAUACAGCGGCACAGUGGUGAGACCCCCGUUCAUGGUGCGGAUGCCCAAUGCUUUGUGAUACAUUUUCGAAGAGUCGAGUUGUUUGGGAAUGCAGCUCAAAUUGGGUGGUAAAUUCCAUCUAAAGCUAAAUAUUGGCGA
rnacentral:rRNA from 1 species